ensembl:lncRNA
CUUUCUUCAGCAGCUCUGUGCACCACACCCCCACAGCACUCUCCUCAGCAUUGUGCCCCCAUUCAUUUCAGAGCUGCUUAAAUUGGCGCUCAGGUAGGAAGAUAUAGGAGAGCGUGCAGAAGGCAUUUGAAAGGGACGUGUAUUCAAAAUAUCCUGGGAGAUGCUGUACUGUGGUAUGGAUUUCCAACUGGAUAACAUUUUGCAUUUUAUGGUCCUGUCUGCAUUCCUGUGAUGCACUGGGGAAAAUGAGGAUUUUUUUGUAUUUAAGUGGAGAAAGCCACCCAUGUGAGAGAAACGUUAAAUGAUCCAUUCUUCUCAACUUUUCUCAACUCAUUUUGCUCUUUCUGUUACUCCAGUGAAUCUCUCUAUCCCACAAGCAGCCAUUCAUGCACAGCAGUUUUCCAGAGCUGACAGUGGACCUGCUUGUGUAGCAGGACCAGUUGGAUGUACGGGGAGAGUAUAAUGACCUGAUGGAUGUUGCAACACAUUUCUGCUGUGCAUGAGCUCAGCAGAGCUACAUGACAAAUGGUUUUUACUGCUCUGGCUUGCCAAAGACUUCAGUUUGUGCCUCCACCACCACUGGAGAGAUUUGUGGUUGCUCAUCACCUCAUGGAUCAGGUCUUUUUGUUAAUGAUGUCUGUGAGAACGUGUCAUGCUUGCUUACGGACACCACUUGAUGUUAAUUCCUUCAGGACUCAAGGAUAACGUGCCAGGAAUGAAGAGGAAUUGGUUGAGUUAACAAAGGGAAAAGUCACUAGCAGAAAUAAUAGUGGUGCUAUACUAGGUAUUCUUCUACUCCCAAAAGGCUAAGCUAAGGGCUGUUGAAACACAGUGCGAUCUAUUUUCCAGUUUUAUGUAUAUUUGCAUUUUGUUUUCAUGGAAAGAGGGGAAGGAAAGGUUUCACAGAGCCCAGUUGUUUGCUCUUGGUUUAGGCGAUGCUUGGUAGGUUUGCCUCCGAUGUCUUUGUUUUCAAGUGUUGCACACAAUUAUUUCCACUGAAGUCAGCAUUUCUGGAAAUCCAGGUCACUUAAGUCGUCUGACAGGGCGUGGAGCAUGACUACGUGACCUGCAGCAGCAAUCCAGGGCAAUGUGGGAGGGAAGGAUGAAGUCAGGAAGGGCCUUUUUCAUACAGGUCCUGCUGCUAAACAAACAGUUUGCAUGGCUUUCGUGUUUCCGCUGAUGACAACAGAACUUCUGACUAGAAAUAUAAUAGAUUUUGUGCUUCGCACUUAUGUUUUGCUGUGUUCACCUUGGUGGUUAUAACCCGGGAUCCUGAUCCUUCUUGUAAGAAAUGGCAGAAGCCCCACUGACAGCAGAGGGAGAGGGUGAGGUUCCCCACACGUUUUUUCCACUGGAUACAGAAAUAAAGCAGCAGACUUCAAAAUGCAGCUACUACAGUUUGUCAGGAUGUUUCUUUCCGUAUUCCUUUGCCCUUAAUGACUGCAGCCUCCAAUGGACAAGGCAGGAAGAGGGUCAGAUGUCAUAGAGUGUGAGUAGUCAUCAAUUCUAACUUGUUCAAUCACGUAUGCAGUGAAGUUUAAGAAGGCAUGAGGAUUCUACUCCGCCUUCUCUUUUGUAUGGGUCCUGGUGGAAAAAUGGCUAACACCAGAAACAUCUUGGUGAUGUAUGCAUAGCCGGCCGUAAUACAAAGCUGGAUCUGGAGGAAGAGCCGUCUGCUGAUGCAGCACUUCAGGUCAUGUUCCUGAUAACACUGUUUCCUCUACAGAUGGGACAGGCCUCCAUUCCCCUCCUUGUCAGUGUCUGCGGUGUAAGAAUCCUUGCUUGAGUGAGGCCCUCCCUUGCUUCCUUUUAUUGGCAGCAGAGCAACAGGCCUUCUCAGGAUGUGAAUCAUUGGACCUCUUUGCAACGUUGCAUUGAGGUAAGAUUAAUGUUGUCUUCCCACCAGUGACUAAGGGAGCUCCAGUGUGACUAGAUUUGAUUUAGCGUCUGCUGUACAGAAGCCUACAGCUGCUCAGAGGCAUCCCUCUUGCCUGAUUAGAACUGCUUUCUUUGCUGCAGAAUCGAUUUUGGUGAUGCAGAUCCAUGCAAAUAAAGCAGAUGGGUACAAUUAUGUUCUAUUUGCCCUAAAGUUGGAUUUGCUGUCUGUAAAGAUGACACUGCUGUUCUCCUGUAUGGACUUGAUGACUUUGAAUGUCCUUUCCAACCUCAGUGACUGUAUGGCUACUGCUCUUCUACCCUGUGUGUGGCCAUGGGACAGCCCCAGCAUGCUUGGCAGGUACAUACAAUGCCCAAAAAUACCCAUGGGGAUGUCUGCAGGCUCCCUUCUGGACUUGUGCCUCAGCUGCAGUGUGAGCAUGUCCACGGUGUCGAAAGAUGCCUCGGGGACACGAUGCUCCUUCUGUUUUCAGGCUGUGAGUGUGUGAGUUGGAAGAAUUACACUAGGGUAAGUACGGUGCGACUCAGGAGAGCAACAUGUCCAUGUUUCUUCUUAGGAAGUAAAAUGCUUUACAGAAUGUCAUUGUUCACAUAGGGUAGCCCCAUUCUAGAGGGCACUGUGCUCUCUUCUCUCUUUAUCGAAGUGCUACAUGUUUUAAAAGUUCUUGUGUUGAAAGCUGCAGUCUGAGUAAUGGCGAAAAAGUUUGGGGCUGCAUACUUAGCUUCCAGAAAAUGCCCACAUGAAUGUCUCUGAUUAAAAUGGAGCGACCACAAGGGAAAUUCUCAGGACAGAUGACUUCAAAUUCAAAAUAAAAAUGUAGCAGGAAAUUAAAAAAGAAAGACCUAUGACCAAUACCCAUGAAGAAUCAUUUGACCAGUCUCUAGAAUUCAGCUGCAUAACAAAUCGAGGCAAACCACCAAGAAAUAUGCAUUUGUUAUGGUUUUUCAGUUACAUUUCUCAAGUUCAAACCACAUUAAGUAAAUAAAGCUGAUUCAGGGAAUUAGUGUAUUAAGGUUUUCAUUGAUGUAAUUGUAACUGCAAAACAUACUUUACAGUAUUAAUGUCAGCAUUCAAUCAUUGCUUUAACUCUGCAGUCAGUAUAAUUGGAUGCACCUGAUAAUUAAAAGCUCAGUCCUGAUUCCUUGAUGCUUUCAGAACUUCCCUGAGCCUGUCAGUGGCUGUUUGUAUUUGAUGUGUGUACAGCUAAUAGAGAUUUGAAUGCUGAAAACUCAAAUUGUUCUGACAGUGAUGUCUCUUUUGUGUCUGUGGUGAUUUUCCUCUGGGGAGAUGGUGAAUACCCACCUGUUGUGAAUAAGCAACAAGUCACAAACUGUCCUGUUUCAAGCAAUAGCAUGACUUAGAAAUAAUUUCUUAGAAACUGGGAGGUGAAUCUUCUCCAUUGGUUCACUGGUACGUUUGAUCUUUUGUGUUUACAAUACCUGUGUGGCACUGUUGGGUGCAGAAGCACACUGCUGCCACAUGCACAGUGCUACUCAAUGGGACAUCUGGCCACUGAAAAGUACAGUGGGGAAAGAAAAUAAUACUUGGUUCUCUUUAUAAGCCUGAGAGAACAAAUAAUACAGUUGCAAGAUUAUAUUCUUUUAGGCUUUAGAAUAAAACAGUUGAGCUAGAAGGAACUUUCAGGGAUCAUCCAGUCCUGCUGUUCAUCCACUUCAGGGCCAAACAAAAGUUGAAGCAUGUUACUAAGGGCACUGUAUAAAUGCCUCUUGAAUAUGACAGCCACAGGGCACCAACCGCCUCUCUUGGAAGCCUGUUCCCAGCAUUUGAUCAACUUCAUGGUAGUGACAUUUCUCCCAGUGCUCAGUCUGACUUUGCCCUGGAGCAGGUUUGUGCCAUUCCCAUCCUGCCAUCAGUUCGUGGGAGCAGAGCCCAGCACCUCCCUCUGCUUCCCCUUCUCAGAGCUACAGGGAGCAAUGAGGUCACCUCUCAGCCUCCUCUUCUCCGGGCUGGGCAAUCCAAGUGUCCUCACUUCUCCUCACAGGACACACCUUUCAGCCCUGCUACCGGCUUGUCCUCCUCUGGAUACAAUAUUCACACAGUAUUCAAGGUGAGGCUGCACCAGUGCUAAAUAUAGGUGGGAGAAUCACCUACUGUGAUCAGCUGGCCAUGCUGUGGGCGUUCUGGUGGAUGAAAAGCUGGACGUGAGGCAGCAGUGUGCACUUGCAGCCUGGGAGGCCAACAGUGUCCUGGGCUGCAUCAACAGAGGGGUGGCAGCAGGGAGAGGGAGGGGAUUGUGCCCCUCUGCUCUGCCCUGGGGAAUGCCACUAGUGACCGUCCACCAGCCGGCUGUAGCCCCAUCCACUACAAGCCUUUGAGCUCUGAUAUCAAACCUGUUUGUCACCCAACGCAGCAUGAUCAUGCUCAUCUUGCAGUAGAGCAAUUUGUCCAGAAGGAUACUGUGAGGAACAGUAUCAAAAGGCCUUUCAAAAAUCCAGAAGGAUUACAUCCACUUCCUUCCCUUCAUUCACCAAGUGGGUGACCUUCACAUGGGAGAUAAGUCACUGAAGACUUUCCCUUUUUGAAUCCGUGCUGACUAUGCCUGAUAACAGCUUUGUUCUCUAAACGCCUUUCAACAGAACCAAGGAUUAUCUUCUCCAUAAUUCUUCCAGGUACUGAGGUUAGUCUGACAGGGCUGUAGUUUUGUGAGUCAUUUCUUGUGCCCCUAUGGAUGAGUGUAAGACCUUUGGAAAGCUGCUGAGAGGGAUCCAGCUCUAAUGUCUGCUAAUUUCUUCUCUGAAUGAGAUUUCCAGAUGUACUCAACAUUAGAAAAUGUUUGUGAUGGUGAAAAUUCGAGUUUAUGGUAUAUGAGUGCACAUAUACAUUAAAAAUAUGAUUUUGUGUAUGUGACAAUAUAACACUGAUUUUAAUGGAAAAUCAUACAUCUUGAGUACACUGUCCUUACAGCAUUUAAAACUGCCUGUUUCAGUGUGUUUGUUGUUUGCACGUAAUGGCAUGCUCUUCUAAGUGACGAAGGCUAACUUUUUUUUUUUUUAUGAAAGCAAAAUAAAGCCUUUUAUUACUUUCCAUCUCCCUGCCCCAACAGCCAGAAAUGAAUUGAAUUUCUCAGAACUCAGAGGAUUCUUUUGUUUCCUUUAGGCUAAGAGCAAGCAUGAAAGAUGUCAAGUGAGGGCUGAUGCUAUAUGCUCAAAGGGGCUGGGAUGUUUCCAGGCACGGUGAGUUCCUGCACGCUCAAGGGAACAUGCUGAAGAAAGCUGGCAGUGAGAGCAUUUCAGAAGACCAAAGUAUUUUUUUUCGUGGAGAAAAAAAAAUGAAAUGAGAAACCACAACUUUGGGAUCUCCAAAGGCAACUGAAAAUUUGGAUGAUGCCGGGCUAUGGGAUGGAAUAAGCUGCUCUUUCUACACAUGGAUAUGUUCUGGGAAGAAAGGUGACUUUUUCUCCUUACGCGUCACCAAAGACUCACCCUGAUGUGGGGUUGUCAGCCCCUGGCCAUGCACGAUCAGACUGGAAGCAGCACAACUGAGAGCCAUUUGCUCUGUCUGAGUGUGCACGUGUUUUAUGGAGUGGUGACAACAUGAUGUACACAUUUCAACCAGAUGUGAUGGCUGUGUAGCAUAGUAGCACCAGGGACGCUCGACUGCGCAGGGCUGGAAGCAGUGGCACAGGAAGUCUGGUCCCAUAUUUACCUUUCCCUGCAGCUACGUCCUGGGGUAAGGAGGAUGGAGCUGGGCCACUGCUGGCGUGGGAGACUCCAUGGGCACACUGAGCUGAAGGAAACAAGUCAGUCCAGGGCACAGUUUUGUGCCUUCUUUAUCUCUAUUGACUCUAACUGGGUGCUAAAACCCUGCUUUCCAUAGCAGAGAUGAAAAUAAGAUCUUGACAAUAAAUGCUGUAUGACGUUUAC